GCACCUAUCGUCUAUCGGUUAGGACAUCAGGUUUUCAACCUGAGAAGCUCGGUUCGAUUCCGUGUGGGUGUACCA
rnacentral:tRNA from 3 species